rnacentral:misc_RNA from 1 species
CGGGGAAGAACCCUAUUCGCCAAGGUAAGGACUCAUUCGCAUUCUAGCCGCCGCGCCUAACCAACGUCUCCCUACGACUCUUAUUGGGGAUGCUGUUGCAAAGGUGUCAUCUUCCGUCGGAGAGUAAAAUAUGGGAGCAACAAGAGGCAGUUUUCCCCAUAGCUCCCAUAGCUUUGGUGUCGUCUUCGUAACAUCGUUAAUAUUGGCGACUUGCAGCGCCAACACCGGGACAUCAAAUGGCCUGACGUGGUGGGGCGUCGAGAGCUUCCUCAGGGAAAACGUUAAUGGACGACUGGGUGCGGAGCGGCUGCAGGAGUAUUUACACAAGGAAUUCCGUUGGGAGAACAGAGAGGUCGACGGGAGAGAGACACUGAACAAGAAAAGGGACGCUGCAACGAACCUUUUUCAGAGCACGAUCACCAAUUUGCAGAGACUCAGAGCGACCAUUGAGGCGAAUUACGAAGACUGGCCUACCGUCGCCCGUGAAAAUAUAUCUGACCACGUACUCUGUUGUGGAGAGCCACCUCCCACAGGUUGCACGAUCUUGUCCACGAGGCUGGACCGAAGGGCGUUAGUCCGCGCAGGGAACCCCCCGGACCCCGUGCUGAGACAUCUCGAGAGAAUGACCAUUUUCAACGUGACCAAUUAUUUCGUCUUCGAUGACGGGAGUUUGUUCGUGCGCUCUCCGAAACGAAAGGAACAUGUGGAUGUUUGUGAAAAUUAUGAUCCUAGGUCAAGGCACUUCUACAGGCAGGCUAGAUCUCCCGAGCCGCGAGAUGUGGUUGUGGUCACGGACGGCGAGAAAAGAGGGGGCCUGCUGCUUGAACACGCCAUCUCCAAAGUCUACAUGGAACUCACGUCCAUAGACCGAAUCAGCCUGUGCCUCCCCUACAAAGACUCCUGCCAAACCAGCAAGUGGUACCGGGAGUCGGAGCAAAUAGACGGGCCCCUCGGCCAGAAGGGCUUCCUCGGCCGCCUGCUCUUCAACAACAAAUACAACAGGGAGAAGCUGAUCAAACUUCUGGAGGAAACAAACUAUGUCCCCUUCAGUAACCACUCGGCGGCACUGAAAGCGGGGACAGACCUGCUGAGGAAUCGAUAUGGGUCUCGGUACUUUGAGAUAGCCGGACAUUCCCACAGCGUCCUGGUCUACGUGACGAAGAGCUGCUGGGAGAAGUGGAAGGAAAACAAACAAAUCAAUUCCUCGCUCGACCUCGGGAUUUCCAUUGUGAUUAUCCACCUCCACGAUGAUGGAGCAUGUGGCGUGGAGAAGGGAGUGGUAUUGAAGAGGAAUAACGCCACAGUCACGUUCUCUUCGUUUAAGGACUUGGAGGAGUUACGUGCGUCCGAAAUCGGGAUUGCUAGUUAUGGCCUGAUGGACGUGAAUCGACCUGUCAUUCCUGUACCUUACUGGGACGCGUUUGGGGACGGUUACAUCAUCACGGUCUGUGUCCAUCUCAUGCACAGAGCCUCGUUCGUGGGCGUCGCCUGCUCCGAUUUGAGCAUCGUCAACUUGCUCGAAGCGGAACUCAACGUUGAUGACGUCAAGGACGGUUACGUCUUCCUCGUGGACCGCUUCGGCAGGGCACUGAAGCACCCCCUGCUCCCCGAGGUCCACUCUCUGACCGAUGACCCGACCUCCGUGACGAUUGACAAGCUCGAAAUCGCUCCCGAGGUCAGGCACAUUCUCGUCAAGGCGGUCAGGCAAGAAUCGGGGAAUGAGCGCAUAUCAGGGUUGUACGUCGAGUCCCUGGGUUACCCGCGGGGCAUCGACAUUCCGAAGGCCGUCCGCGUGCGUCGACGGUCCCUUCACUACCUGUGGGCGCCCAUCUACGAUACAGGCCUCACCCUUGCCGUCGUUCUUCCCCUGAAUGAUAGUUCGCAGGUAGUCUCCUCGGUGUACAGCUGCAAGUCGCAGGAUCAAUGCACGACCAGCCAUUUCGAAUACAACGAACCUAGAGAUCAUUUUGAAAGAGAAUUCUGCAAUUUCUUUGGUAAAAAUGUUACCAAGAGUAAGGCACUGGUCAAAUUCGCCCCGGACUGUUUCAUAGACGUUUUAGCUUACGUCCGCGGGGAGAUCGAUCCAGCGUUGGUCUAUGCUAUCUUCAACAGGACUCAGCCCUAUGAUAGUGUGUUCAGGGAGGACCUGAUGCCGAGCGUGAAAUUCCUGGAGUUCGCCGAAGAGACAUGGAAGAGCAACCUGGCCGCCAAAGUGCACGAAGGGAUUCGCUACUUAGGCACAGAGGACGGCAGCUUCAUAACCUUCCAGGGGAUUGAACUCGAGCAGACGUUCGACCAUAGGGAUCGGUCAUGGUACCAGGCAGCCCUGCCGACCCCCUCCACAAUCUCCAUAACGACCCCCUACUGCGACGGCGGCAUGGGGAUGGUGUGCACGAUGUCCAAGACCCUUUACAACAAGCUGGGGCAUCCUCAGGCGGUGGUGGCUGGGGACUUCAAGCUACAGUACAUGGCGGCGCACUUCCUCGACCGCGUCCCUUACUGCAAGAGUCAGACCUGUCUUCUAGUGGACCCUAUGGGCUUCGUGGUUCUCAAGUCAGACUGGGAGGGACGGUUUUACAACGGGUGUCGCGGCGAGAGAGAGAUCGUAGGAUCCCACAUCAACUUCGUGGCGCCAGACAUUGCACGUGACCUGAUCGCCGAAAAAUACCUGAGGCGUAGGGCGUGCCACGAGUACGACAGGGACUCCACGUACUACUACUGGACGCUCGCCUUCCCCGCCUUCCGCACGUUUCACGAGGGACCCAGCUACGGCAUCCACAAGAUUGCGGAUGCGAAUCUCUUCCUCGCUUAUCGCACCCAGGGAUCGAACAUCAUUCCUUGCAACUGCAACCCUUAUCCGGCAUCAUCUCCCAGCCUGUAAGCCCCGCGGCCCAACGUUGAAGACCAAACAGAACUACAAUAAUCAGACUCCGAGUGCCCAGUCUGGAAUUCGAGACUGCAGUGAGGUCACCUAAUGUUCCUGGUCAGAAGGAGAAUCAAAAAUGCAGAUGAUGUCCGCGAUACAGAAUACGUUUUCUUAAAUAUAACUUUAAAUACAUAAACUCAACGACACAAUUACACACUGGUCACAUUACCAAUGUAAACUGUAAAAUCGACUACAGGUCUUUUGCAUAUGGACAUUGGCAACACGUAUAUACCAAGAACAAAGAUACGAAUAUAUUGUGAAGUUUCCGAACCCUUCCCCCAUCCUGUAACGUAACCUCUUGCCUUCUUCUUCCCCUUAUGCUCCUCAUCACCCUUGCUUCCCUUAGUCUCUCCUAAGCUUCCCUUUUACUUUAGUCUCACCUUAUACCUUUUCCCCAUCCUUUUCCACUCCCCUCUCUCUCUUCUUCUUCUUCUUCUUCUUCUCCUCCUCCUCCUCCACCUCCUCCUCCUCCUCCUCCUCCUCCUCCUCCUCCUCCUCCUCCUCCUCCUCCUCCUCCUCCUCCUCCUCCUCACGUACCAUCCUCCCGAAACCUGUACCCUAUUUACUCUACCUGCUAUAUUCCGUCUCUUCUAACUACCUUCUUUCUCUCACUUCUUCCUCGUUCAUUUCUUUCGUUCCCUUUCCUCUUUCAUUUUCCUCUUUCCCUUCCUAAUCUUACGUUCAUUCUUUACUUUCUACCAUGCUAAUCUCCUUACUUUCUACCAUGCUAAUCUCCUCGUUUUCUCGUGUCCUCCUCUUCCCCGUUCCUUCGUUAUGCUAUCUUAUCCUUUCCUCUCGUUUUCUUUCUCUCAUUCACUUCUUUGGUUCAUUUUUACCCGUUCUACCUGUUUACCCAAACUUUUUACUGUUAUUUAUUGUUAAUUAAAACUGCUGUCUCAUAAAAUAUUCUUAAAUAAGUGUAUCUUUGUUUGGUUUAGAUAACUGUUGCCACAAUGACGUGGAUCAGCCUAGAUAAAUACUGGUAGAGAAUAAACCCAUGCUGGAGUUGCCUCUGAA